rnacentral:lncRNA from 1 species
AGUGAUGAGUAGAAUGAACAUGCCACCUAUGAUGUUGCCAAUGGCAAUGCAACAACAACUUCAGAUGUCUAUGUUGAGUUCAAUGGGCAUGGGGAUGGGUAUGGGCAUGGGGAUGGGUGUGAUGGACAUGAACUCCAUGAGCCGCCCAAACAUUACCAGCAUGCCACCAUUGCUUCAUCCUUUCUUGCCUUUGGCCUCAUGGGAUGGCUUGGGUGACCGGCUACAAGCUUCCCCAAUGACAGACCCGUUAUCCACAUUCCUUGCUUGCCAACCGCAGGUAGGCUGAUUGAAGUUUUACAAUGCGUAUAUAUAAUUAACUCUUCUGAGUUGAAGUGAUCGUUGUGAUCUUGUAAGUAUAUAAAUCUGUGCGUGUGUUUCUGAC